UGGGGAAUUUUGGACAAUGGGCGAAAGCCUGAUCCAGCAAUGCCGCGUGUGUGAAGAAGGCCUUCGGGUUGUAAAGCACUUUUGUCCGGAAAGAAAUCCUUGGCUCUAAUACAGUCGGGGGAUGACGGUACCGGAAGAAUAAGCACCGGCUAACUACGUGCCAGCAGCCGCGGUAAUACGUAGGGUGCAAGCGUUAAUCGGAAUUACUGGGCGUAAAGCGUGCGCAGGCGGUUUGCUAAGACCGAUGUGAAAUCCCCGGGCUCAACCUGGGAACUGCAUUGGUGACUGGCAGGCUAGAGUAUGGCAGAGGGGGGUAGAAUUCCACGUNUAGCAGUGAAAUGCGUAGAGAUGUGGAGGAAUACCGAUGGCGAAGGCAGCCCCCUGGGCAAUACUGACGCUCAUGCACGAAAAGCGUGGGGAGCAAACAGGAUUAGAUACCCUGGUAGUCCACGCCCUAAAACGAUGUCAACUAGUUGUUGGGGAUUCAUUUCCUUAGUAACGUAGCUAACGCGUGAAGUUGACCGCCUGGGGAGUACGGUCGCAAGAUUAAAAACUCAAAGGAAUUGACGGGGUCAUAGCUGUUUCCU
rnacentral:rRNA from 1 species